rnacentral:rRNA from 1 species
UACGUAGGGUGCAAGCGUUGUCCGGAAUUAUUGGGCGUAAAGAGCUCGUAGGCGGUUCGUCGCGUCGGCUGUGAAAUCCCGAGGCUCAACCUCGGGUCUGCAGUCGAUACGGGCGGACUGGAGUUCGGACAGGGGAGACUGGAAUUCCUGGUGUAGCGGUGAAAUGCGCAGAUAUCAGGAGGAACACCAAUGGCGAAGGCAGCUCGCUGGAACGGUACUGACGCCUGGAGGCGACGAAAGCGUGGGAGCGAACAGG